rnacentral:rRNA from 1 species
AACGAACGCUGGCGGCAUGCCUAACACAUGCAAGUCGAACGAGACCUUCGGGUCUAGUGGCGCACGGGUGCGUAACGCGUGGGAACCUGCCCUUAGGCUCGGAAUAACUCCCCGAAAGGGGUGCUAAUACCGGAUAAUGUCUUCGGACCAAAGAUUUAUCGCCUUUGGAUGGGCCCGCGUUGGAUUAGCUAGUUGGUAGGGUAAAAGCCUACCAAGGAGACGAUCCAUAGCUGGUCUGAGAGGAUGAUAAGCCACACUGGGACUGAGACACGGACCAGACUGCUACGGAAGGCAGCAGUGGGGAAUAUUGGACAAGGGGCGAAAGCCUGAUAAAGCAAUGCGGGGUGAGUGAUGAAGGCCUUAGGGUUGUAAAGCUGUUUUACACGGGAUGAUAAUGACAGUAACGGGAGAAUAAGCACCGGCUAACUACGUG